rnacentral:rRNA from 1 species
CAAGGAAUUUUGGGCAAUGAGCGAAAGCUUGACCCAGCGACACCGCGUGAGGGAUGAAGGCCUUCGGGUUGUAAACCUCUUUUCCUGGGGAAGAAUUUUGACGGUACCCAGGGAAUAAGCCUCGGCCAACUACGUGCCAGCAGCCGCGGUAAUACGUAGGAGGCAAACGUUAUUCGGAUUUACUGGGCGUAAAGGGAGCGUAGGCGGUUCCUUAAGUCAGAUGUGAAAUCUUCUAGCUCAAUUAGAAGGGGUCAUUUGAUACUGAGGGACUUGAGAGCAGCAGAGGGAAAUGGAAUCUCCAGUGUAGCGGUGAAAUGCGUAGAUAUUGGGGAGAACACCAGUGGCGAAGGCGAUUUCCCAGGUUGUUUCUGACGCUGAGGCUCGAAAGCGUGGGGAGCGAAGCGGAUUAGAUACCCGCGUAGUCCACGCCCUAAACGGUGGACACUAGAUAUAGGAGGUAUCGACCCUUUCUGUGUCGAAGCUAACGCCUUAAGUGUCCCGCCUGGGGAGUACGGCCGCAAGGCUG